AUGGAGGAUGCACUGGGCAAUGUCUUAAAGCCCCAGUUAACUGGGGGUGCAGUGAGGAGCUGUGGAGGGUUUCAUGAGCUGGUGCUGCCCCAGAUGCAGGGUCGACACCACCCUUCUGUGUCUGUUCCCCUAUGCUUAGCAUCCUGUGUGACCCGGAGUGGAUGCCCCGUGUGCAUGAUGAUGCUGGGUAGGUCAGCCUCGUGUGCUGCAGGGUUCUCAGCUCACGGGUCCCAAGGAGGGCUCCUGUGUCCUGUGUAUUCGACUCCUGUCUCAGGUGUGUUGCAGUCAAGUUUCGGUCACUGUGUGAAGGCAGCUGCAGGCUCCCAGUAUUCUCCAGGGACCUCGUUUUACAUCAUGUCCAAUCUUUCCCUGUCACGUGGUCCCACUGAUAUGUGUGCCCAGGGAGGAGGAGCACUGGGUCUUGGUGAGUGCUGAAGACCCCACAGACCCUCGGUGUUGGCACGCUUUUCCCCCUGGAGACCUACACAUCCACCCUGUUUUCUUUCAGGACUUAGCACCUCCCACCUCCAGCCUCCCUUUCUUGCGUCCCACUCCUCAGGUGCCUUCCCAUCCCCCGUUUCUGCUUUUGGCCAAGCCCAUCUUCCUG
rnacentral:lncRNA from 1 species